CCUACGGGAGGCAGCAGUAGGGAAUAUUGGGCAAUGGCGGAAACGCUGACCCAGCGAUGCCGCGUGCCGGAAGAAGGCGCUCAGCGUUGUAAACGGCUUUUGCCAGGGAAGAAAAGCGGGUACGCGUACCCGAAUCGACGGUACCUGGUGAAUAAGCACCGGCUAACUCCGUGCCAGCAGCCGCGGUAAUACGGAGGGUGCAAGCGUUGUCCGGAUUUAUUGGGUUUAAAGGGUGCGUAGGUGGCUUUUUAAGUCCGGGGUGAAAGGCAGUGGCUCAACCACUUGCAGUGCCCUGGAUACUGAGAGGCUCGAGUAAGUUUGAGGCCGGUGGAACGGGUGGUGUAGCGGUGAAAUGCAUAGAUACCAUCCAGAACACCGAUUGCGGAGGCAGCCGGCUAAGACUUCCACUGACACUGAGGCACGAAAGCGCGGGGAGCAAA
rnacentral:rRNA from 1 species